GUAGUGAUAAUGUUGGUAGUGGUGAUAGUGGUGAUGACGACCCAGAGGUCGGUCUCAACAACAUCUUUGAGAAUCUUCACCAUCUAAAUCAACUUGAGACACUAAAGAUUAAAGCAAUUAAUCAAAACAUAUGCCUCAGGAAUCCACAAGCCUUUCCACAGAACCUCAAGGAGCUUACAUUAAUUAACACUCGUUUGCCAUGGAAACAUAUAAACAUCAUUGGCUACAUGCCUAGCCUUGAAGUACUCAAACUGAAAUAUGAAGCCACACGGGGCGAGAUAUGGGAACCAAGCGACGGGGGUUUUCGUGGGUUGAAGUUCUUGCUGAUUGAAAGCUGCCUCUUAUUCCAGUACUGGGAAGCCACUCCUGACCAUUACCCUGUCCUUGAGCGCCUAGUCAUGCGUAACUGCCCCUUUUUGGAAGAAUUUCCUAGUAGCUUUGAAGAUAUGAUCACUUUGCGUUUAAUUGAGAUUAACAGUUGCACUCCUUCUCUUUUGGCUUCUGCCCGGCAAAUUCAAGAAGCACAACAAGAUCUUGGAAAUUACGGGCUCGCCGUUCGCGAUGCUACACCGUUCUCGGUGCUACCGUUAGUACUGUCAAUGAUAGGGAAGGUAGGGAAGGUAUUGCGCGUGGCUACAUGGUUUUACAAACUUUUUGCUAGACUUUUGUAAGGUUUGUAAUAUUUCAUAAAAGUACCAAGGACCAUCCCUUAUGUGGGAGGUGGAUGGUUCAAGCCAGUGGGGAAUUAUAGUGUCAUUAUGUAAUGGGUUGUAUAUGUGAGUGUUUCCUUUCCUUAUAAAUAAAAACAGUUAUAUUAUAAACA